CAGUCGCCGCGGUAAUACGAAGGGGGCUAGCGUUGCUCGGAAUCACUGGGCGUAAAGGGUGCGUAGGCGGGUUUUUAAGUCAGGGGUGAAAUCCUGGAGCUCAACUCCAGAACUGCCCUUGAUACUGGGAAUCUUGAGUAUGGGAGAGGUGAGUGAAACUGCGAGUGUAGAGGUGAAAUUCGUAGAUAUUCGCAAGAACACCACUGGCGAAGGCGGCUCACUGAACCGAUACUGACGCUGAGGCGCGAAAGCGUGGGGAGCAAACAGGAUUAGAUACCCCCGUAGUCCCUGUCUCUUAUAA
rnacentral:rRNA from 1 species